rfam:Hordeum vulgare subsp. vulgare, WGS project CAJW01000000 data, contig: morex_contig_1590097
UAUAUACUCCCUCCGUCUUAAAAUUCUUGUCUUACAUUUGUCUAGAUUUGGAUGUAUCUAGUCACGUUUUAGUACUUAGAUACAUACAUUUCUAGACAAAUUUAAGACAAGAAUUUUGGUACGGAGGGAGUACAAA